rnacentral:rRNA from 1 species
UACGUAGGGGGGCAAGCGUUGUCCGGAAUCAUUGGGCGUAAAGCGCGUGUAGGCGGCUCAGUAAGUCCGCUCUGAAAGCCCGGGGCUUAACCCCCGGGAGGCGGGUGGAUACUGCUGAGCUUGAGUCCGGAAGAGGCGAGUGGAAAUUCCCUGGGUGUCAGCGGUGAAAUGCGCAGAUAUCAGGAGGAACACCAAUUGCGAAGGCAGCUCGCUGGGACGUUACUGACGCUGAGACGCGAAAGCGUGGGGAGCAAACAGG